CUACGGGGGGCUGCAGUGAGGAAUAUUGCACAAUGGGGGGAACCCUGAUGCAGCAACGCCGCGUGGAGGAUGACGCAUUUCGGUGUGUAAACUCCUUUUAUAUGUCAAGAAAAUGACGGUAGCAUAUGAAUAAGCACCGGCUAACUCCGUGGCCAGCAGCCGCAGUAAUACGGAGGGUGCAAGCGUUACUCGGAAUCACUGGGCGUAAAGGACGCGUAGGCGGGUUGGAAAGUCAGGUGUGAAAUCCUACAGCUUAACUGUAGAACUGCACUUGAAACUUCUAAUCUAGAGUAUGGGAGGGGGAGAUGGAAUUAGUGGUGUAGGGGUAAAAUCCGUAGAUAUCACUAGGAAUACCUAAAGCGAAGGCGAUCUCCUGGAACAUUACUGACGCUAAGGCGUGAAAGCGUGGGGAGCAAACAGGAUUAGAUACCCCUGUAGAC
rnacentral:rRNA from 1 species